rnacentral:rRNA from 1 species
GACGAACGCUGGCGGCGUGCUUAACACAUGCAAGUCGAACGGAAAGGCCCUGCUUUUGUGGGGUGCUCGAGUGGCGAACGGGUGAGUAACACGUGAGUAACCUGCCCUUGACUUUGGGAUAACUUCAGGAAACUGGGGCUAAUACCGGAUAGGAGCUCCUGCUGCAUGGUGGGGGUUGGAAAGUUUCGGCGGUUGGGGAUGGACUCGCGGCUUAUCAGCUUGUUGGUGGGGUGGUGGCUUACCAAGGCUUUGACGGGUAGCCGGCCUGAGAGGGUGACCGGCCACAUUGGGACUGCGAUACGGCCCAGACUCCUACGGGAGGCAGCAGUGGGGAAUAUUGCACAAUGGGCGGAAGCCUGAUGCAGCAACGCCGCGUGCGGGAUGACGGCCUUCGGGUUGUAAACCGCUUUCGCCUGUGACGAAGCGUGAGUGACGGUAAUGGGUAAAGAAGCACCGGCUAACUACGUG